rnacentral:misc_RNA from 1 species
CACGGGGGGAGCAAGCGUUGUUCGGAAUCACUGGGCGUAAAGGGCGUGUAGGCGGUUCGGUAAGUGGGAUGUGAAAGCCCCCGGCUCACCCGGGGAGGUGCAUUUCAUACUGCCGGACUUGAGUGCGGAAGAGGAUGGGGGAAUUCCUGGUGUAGCGGUGAAAUGCGUAGAUAUCAGGAGGAACACCGGUGGCGAAGGCGCCCAUCUGGUCCGUUACUGACGCUGAGGCGCGAAAGCUAGGGGAGCGAACGGG